rnacentral:rRNA from 1 species
UCGAACGCACAGCGAAAGGUGCUUGCACCUUUCAAGUGAGUGGCGAACGGGCGAUUAACACGUGGACAACCUGCCUCAAGGCUGGGGAUAACAUUCGUAAACAGAUGCUAAUACCGAAUAAAACUUAGUGUCGCAUGACACAAAGUUAAAAGGCGCUUCGGCGUCACCUAGAGAUGGAUCCGCGGUGCAUUAGUUAGUUGGUGGGGUAAAGGCCUACCAAGACAAUGAUGCAUAGCCGAGUUGAGAGACUGAUCGGCCACAUUGGGACUGAGACACGGCCCAAACUCCUACGGGAGGCUGCAGUAGGGAAUCUUCCACAAUGGGCGAAAGCCUGAUGGAGCAACGCCGCGUGUGUGAUGAAGGCUUUCGGGUCGUAAAGCACUGUUGUAUGGGAAGAACAGCUAGAAUAGGAAAUGAUUUUAGUUUGACGGUACCAUACCAGAAAGGGACGGCUAAAUACGUGCCAGCAGCCGCGGUAAUACGUAUGUCCCGAGCGUUAUCCGGAUUUAUUGGGCGUAAAGCGAGCGCAGACGGUUUAUUAAGUCUGAUGUGAAAGCCCGGAGCUCAACUCCGGAAUGGCAUUGGAAACUGGUUAACUUGAGUGCAGUAGAGGUAAGUGGAACUCCAUGUGUAGCGGUGGAAUGCGUAGAUAUAUGGAAGAACACCAGUGGCGAAGGCGGCUUACUGGACUGCAACUGACGUUGAGGCUCGAAAGUGUGGGUAGCAAACAGGAUUAGAUACCCUGGUAGUCCACACCGUAAACGAUGAACACUAGGUGUUAG